rnacentral:sRNA from 1 species
UCCCCUAGGGAAUUGCUCAGGUCCGCCGCAUCUCCUGGGUCCCGUGGGGUUCGGCCGGUCUGGAAGCGGUGUUCUGUGGCCUCCUCGUACGCCGCUUCCGACCGGCCACCAU